rnacentral:rRNA from 1 species
GAUGAACGCUGGCGGCGUGCCUAAUACAUGCAAGUCGAGCGAACAGACGAGGAGCUUGCUCCUCUGACGUUAGCGGCGGACGGGUGAGUAACACGUGGAUAACCUACCUAUAAGACUGGGAUAACUUCGGGAAACCGGAGCUAAUACCGGAUAAUAUAUUGAACCGCAUGGUUCAAUAGUGAAAGACGCUCUUGCUGUCACUUAUAGAUGGAUCCGCGCCGCAUUAGCUAGUUGGUAAGGUAACGGCUUACCAAGGCAACGAUGCGUAGCCGACCUGAGAGGGUGAUCGGCCACACUGGAACGGAGACACGGUCCAGACUCCUACGGGAGGCAGCAGUAGGGAAUCUUACGCAAUGGGCGAAAGCCUGACGGAGCAACGCCGCGUGAGUGAUGAAGGUCUUCGGAUCGUAAAACUCUGUUAUUAGGGAAGAACAAAUGUGUAAGUAACUAUGCACGUCUUGACGGUACCUAAUCAGAAAGCCACGGCUAACUACGUG